CCAUUCCAGUGAGAACUGUGGCUGUGUAACUCAGAAAUUCCGUGAUGUCAUCAGCUUCGUCUCUCGGUACCCACGAGAUUGGAGUUAAAUAACAUCACAAAAUUC
rnacentral:snoRNA from 1 species